rnacentral:rRNA from 1 species
AGUGAACGCUGGCGGUAGGCCUAACACAUGCAAGUCGAACGGCAGCACAGUAAGAGCUUGCUCUUACGGGUGGCGAGUGGCGGACGGGUGAGGAAUACAUCGGAAUCUACUUUUUCGUGGGGGAUAACGUAGGGAAACUUACGCUAAUACCGCAUACGGCCUACGGGUGAAAGCAGGGGAUCUUCGGACCUUGCGCGAUUGAAUGAGCCGAUGUCGGAUUAGCUAGUUGGCGGGGUAAAGGCCCACCAAGGCGACGAUCCGUAGCUGGUCUGAGAGGAUGAUCAGCCACACUGGAACUGAGACACGGUCCAGACUCCUACGGGAGGCAGCAGUGGGGAAUAUUGGACAAUGGGCGCAAGCCUGACCCAGCCAUACCGCGUGGGUGAAGAAGGCCUUCGGGUUGUAAAGCCCUUUUGUUGGGAAAGAAAAGCAGCAGGUUAAUACCCCGCUGUUCUGACGGUACCCAAAGAAUAAGCACCGGCUAACUUCGUG